rnacentral:rRNA from 1 species
GUUGAACGCUGGCGGCAGGCUUAACACAUGCAAGUCGCACGAUGAUUAUCUAGCUUGCUAGAUAUGAUUAGUGGCGGACGGGUGAGUAACAUUUAGGAAUCUGCCUAGUAGUAGGGGAUAGAUCGGGGAAACUCGAAUUAAUACCGCAUACGAACUACGGGUGAAAGGGGGAGAAAGCUCUUGCUAUUAGCUGAGCCUAAAUCAGAUUAGCUAGUUGGUGGGGUAAAGGCCCACCAAGGCGACGAUCUGUAACUGGUCUGAGAGGAGGAUCAGUCACACCGGAACUGAGACACGGUCCGGACUCCUACGGGAGGCAGCAGUGGUGAAUAUUGGACAAUGGGGGCAACCCUGAUCCAGCCAUGCCGCGUGUGUGAAGAAGGCCUUUUGGUUGUAAAGCACUUUAAGCAGGGAGGAGAGGCUAAUGAUUAAUACCCAUUAGAUUAGACGUUACCUGCAGAAUAAGCACCGGCUAACUCUGUGCCAGCCGCCGCCGUAA